UACGUAGGGGGCAAGCGUUGUCCGGAUUUAUUGGGCGUAAAGAGCGUGUAGGCGGCCACACAGGUCAGCUGUGAAAACUCGAGGCUCAACCUCGAGACGUCGGUUGAAACCGUAUGGCUAGAGUCCGGAAGAGGAGAGUGGAAUUCCCGGUGUAGCGGUGAAAAUGCGCAGAUAUCGGGAAGAACACCCGUGGCGAAGGCGGCUCUCUGGGACGGUACUGACGCUGAGACGCGAAAGCGUGGGGAGCGAACAGG
rnacentral:rRNA from 1 species